rnacentral:tRNA from 1 species
CAAAAAGUAGCUUAAGAAAAGCAUCUGACCUACACCCAGAAAAUAUUGCCGUCAAUCUUUUUGA